rnacentral:tRNA from 1 species
GGCCCCAUAGCUCAGUGGUAGAGCAGUUGACUCUUAAUCAAUUGGCCGCUGGUUCGAAUCCAGCUGGGGUCA